rnacentral:rRNA from 1 species
AUUGAACGCUGGCGGCAUGCUUUACACAUGCAAGUCGAACGGCAGCACGGGGUCAGCGCUGGUGGCGAGUGGCGAACGGGUGAGUAAUUCAUCGGAGCGUGCCCGGUCGAGGGGGAUAAGGUAGCUAAAGUUACGCUGAUACCGCAUCCGAUCGGAGGAUGCACGCGAGGGACCGUCUGCGCUCGCUUGACUGGAUGGUCCGACGUUAGAUUACUUAGUUGGUGGGGUAAAGGCCUACCGAGCCGACGAUCUGUAGCUGAUCUGAGAGGACGACCGGCCACACUGGGACUGAGACACGGCCCAGACUCCUACGGGAGGCAGCAGUGGGGAAUUUUGGGCAAUGGGCGCAAGCCUGAUCCAGCAAUGCCGCGUGGAGGACGAAGGCCUUCGGGUUGUAAACUGCUUUUGUAAGGGACGAAAAAGUUCUGGCUAAUACGUGGGGCUCAUGACGGUACCGUAAGAAUAAGCACCGGCUAACUACGUG